CACUACCUGACUUGGAUAACCUCCAAAGGAAGGUUGCCAUGGUGAUCCUGCAUUCAGCUCAACCAAAUCUGGCUUCUGUCUCUUAUUAAAUGUUCCCUAAAAAGGAAAUGACACAGGGACAUGGAAGCCUUCAGCAGAGCCCUAAUCAAUAUAUUGCCUGUGUGCUUGAGUGCUAAGUCGCUUCAGUUGUGCCCAACUCUUGGUGACCCCAUGGACUGUAGCCCACCAGGCUCCUCUGUCCAUGGGAUUCUCCAGGCAAGAAUACUGGACUGGCUUUCCAUGCCUCCUGCAGGGGAUCUUCCUGACCCAGGAAUUGAACCCGUGUCUCUUAUGCCUCCUGCAUUGGCAGGCAUGUUCUUUACCCCUAGUGCCACCUGGGAAGCCUAUUGCAUUGCCUGUAGGAUGAGUAUGUUGUUGUUCAUCAAUGCCUGGUGACAGAUACUCCAUCCGGGCAAGAACUACCACUCUUCUCUCUGUACCCUGACCAUCUCCCACAGGGCCUGACACAUAAUGUGUACUUAAAAAUAAAUUGUGAGGGUCUCCCCUGGCUCAGUGGUGAAGAAUCCACACGCCAGUGCAGAAGACACAGGUUCUAUCCCUGAUCUGAGAAGACCCCACGUGCCGCAGAGCAACAAAGCCCGUGGGCCACAACUCUUGAGCCUGUGCUCCAGAGCCUGGGAGCUGCAACCACUGAAGUCUGUGUGCCCUAGAGCCCGUGCUCCACAGCAAGAGACGUCGCCGCGGGGAGAAACCCCAGCACCACAGCUAGAGAGAAGCCCUCGCUCACCGUGACUAGCGAAAAGCCUGUGCUGCAGUGAAGACCCAGCAGAGCCAAAAGUAAAAAUAAAUAAAUUAAAAG
rnacentral:lncRNA from 1 species